GCAGCAGGCACGCAAAUUACCCACUCCCGGCACGGGGAGGUAGUGACAAAAAAUAACGAUACGGGACUCUAUUGAGGCCCCGUAAUCGGAAUGAGUACACUUUAAAUCCUUUAACAAGGAUCCAUUGGAGGGCAAGUCUGGUGCCAGCAGCCGCGGUAAUUCCAGCUCCAAUAGCGUAUAUUAAAGUUGUUGCGGUUAAAAAGCUCGUAGUUGGUUCUGCGUGCCGCGCUGUCGGUUCGCCGCCUGUCGGUGUAACUGGCAUGUCGCGGCAUGUCCUGUCGGUGGUGAGCGGAAUUGCCGGUUCAGCGUAGGCUUUUAUUAGCCUAAGUUGGUGCCGUGUAAAUUCCGCUUGCCGAUCUCUCCUACUCCGGUGCUCUUAAACGAGUGUCGAGGUAGGCCGACACGUUCACUUUGAACAAAUUAGAGUGCUUAAAGCAGGCUGAAAUAUCUGCCUGAAUAGUGGUGCAUGGAAUGAUAGAAUAGGACCUCGGUUCUAUUUUGUUGGUUUUAGGAAUGUGAGGUAAUGAUCAAUGUGGACUGGCGGGGGCAUUCGUAUUGCGACGUUAGAGGUGAAAUUCUUGGAUCGUCGCAAGACGCACUAAAGCGAAAGCAUUUGCCAAGUAUGUCUUAAUUGAUCAAGAACGAAAGUUAGAGGUUCGAAGGCGAUCAGAUACCGCCCUAGUUCUAACCAUAAACGAUGCCAGCCAGCGAUCCGCCGAUGUUCCAUUAAUGACUCGGCGGGGAGCUUCUACCCGGGAAACCAAAGCUUUUGGGUUCCGGGGGAAGUAUGGUUGCAAAGCUGAAACUUAAAGGAAUUGACGGAAGGGCACCACCAGGAGUGGAGCCUGCGGCUUAAUUUGACUCAACACGGGAAACCUCACCAGGCCAGGACAUUGGAAGGAUUGACAGAUUGAUAGCUCUUUCUUGAUUCAGUGGGUAGUGGUGCAUGGCCGUUC
rnacentral:rRNA from 1 species